rfam:Neotoma lepida isolate 417 scaffold_1825, whole genome shotgun sequence.
GAGGCCAAACCGGAUCUGUGCGACUGCUAUUCUCUUGCCAGUAUACAGGGUAGACAAUAAAAUGCUCUGUAAAACUCGCGUGUAAAUUCUUGCUUGGCCCAUGCAAAGGAGGCUCGCAUUCACAAGAGGGAGGGGCGACUGGGCCUGAG